UACGUAGGGUGCAAGCGUUGUCCGGAAUUAUUGGGCGUAAAGAGCUCGUAGGCGGUUUGUUGCGUCGGCUGUGAAAUCCCGAGGCUCAACCUCGGGUCUGCAGUCGAUACGAGCAAACUAGAGUGUUGCAGGGGAGACUGGAAUUCCUGGUGUAGCGGUGAAAUGCGCAGAUAUCGUAAGGAAGGCCGGUGGCGAAAGCGAGCCUCUGGACAGUUACUGACGCUGAUGCACGAAGGCCAGGGGAGCAAACGGG
rnacentral:rRNA from 1 species